UACGUAGGGUGCGAGCGUUAAUCGGAUUUACUGGGCGUAAAGCGCGCGUAGGCGGUUUGUCGCGUCUGCCGUGAAAGUCCGGGGCUCAACUCCGGAUCUGCGGUGGGUACGGGCAGACUAGAGUGAUGUAGGGGAGACUGGAAUUCCUGGUGUAGCGGUGAAAUGCGCAGAUAUCAGGAGGAACACCGAUGGCGAAGGCAGGUCUCUGGGCAUUAACUGACGCUGAGGAGCGAAAGCAUGGGGAGCGAACAGG
rnacentral:rRNA from 1 species